AUCACAUCCUGGGGCUGAAGUAGGUCCCAAGGGUAUGGCUGUUCGCCAUUUAAAGUGGUACGCGAGCUGGGUUUAGAACGUCGUGAGACAGUUCGGUCCCUAUCUGCCGUGGGCGCUGGAGAAUUGAGGGGGGCUGCUCCUAGUACGAGAGGACCGGAGUGGACGCAUCACUGGUGUUCGGGUUGUCAUGCCAAUGGCACUGCCCGGUAGCUAAAUGCGGAAGAGAUAAGUGCUGAAAGCAUCUAAGCACGAAACUUGCCCCGAGAUGAGUUCUCCCUGAGACUUUAAGUCUCCUGAAGGAACGUUGAAGACGACGACGUUGAUAGGCCGGGUGUGUAAGCGCAGCGAUGCGUUGAGCUAACCGGUACUAAUGAACCGUGAGGCUUAACCUUACAACGCCGAAG
rnacentral:rRNA from 1 species